rnacentral:rRNA from 1 species
AACGAACGCUGGCGGCAUGCCUAACACAUGCAAGUCGAACGCCCCGCAAGGGGAGUGGCGAACGGGUGAGUAACGCGUGGGAACCUACCCAGCAGUUGGGGAUAACCGCGGGAAACUGCGGCUAAUACCGAAUACGUCCUAAGGGAGAAAGGUUUAUCGCUGUUGGAGGGGCCCGCGUCGGAUUAGCUAGUUGGUGAGGUAACGGCUCACCAAGGCGACGAUCCGUAGCUGGUCUGAGAGGAUGAUCAGCCACACUGGGACUUAGACACGGCCCAGACUCCUACGGGAGGCAGCAGUGGGGAAUAUUGGACAAUGGGGGCAACCCUGAUCCAGCAAUGCCGCGUGAGUGAUGAAGGCCUUAGGGUUGUAAAGCUCUUUUACCGGGGACGAUGAUGACGGUACCCGGAGAAUAAGCCCCGGCUAACUUCGUGCCAGCAGCCGCCGUAAAAC